UACGAGGGGGGCGAGCGUUGUUCGGAAUUAUUGGGAGUAAAGGGUGCGUAGGCGGUUUGGUAAGUCUCUUGUGAAAUCUAUGGGCUCAACUCAUAGUCUGCAAGGGAAACUGCCGGGCUUGAGUGUGGGAGAGGUGAGUGGAAUUUCCGGUGUAGCGGUGAAAUGCGUAGAUAUCGGAAGGAACACCUGUGGCGAAAGCGGCUCACUGGACCACAACUGACGCUGAUGCACGAAAGCUAGGGGAGCAAACAGG
rnacentral:rRNA from 1 species